rnacentral:tRNA from 1 species
AGGGAGUUAGUCUAAAUCAAGACCUCUGAUUUCGGCUCAGAAAAUUGUGGUUAGAGUCCACGACCCCCUU